CCAGCUCCCUUAUAAGCUUGCAGCUCUGUCAAAAUGCUUUCAGAAUCCUGCAGUACAGCAUUCACUUGGUUCCAAAUCUCCCGCUCUCCAUCUGUAGGUUGUGCGUCUACACAAAUAUGACAAGAUUCAAUGGUGAAAAGAACCAAGAUUCUUACAUAUUUAGUUUGACACUAAGAAUCGGGCAGAAAGAUCCAAGUCAACAUGUACCAGAAAACCAUUGAAGAAUCAUCUGAAGAAAGGUCCAUGACCCGAACAGUUGCUGGGAUCUUAGAGGACCUGAGUCAGCUAUGGCGAGAUUUGCGACAGAAUCAGAUGAGAAGUCCAGCAUGGCUAAUCUCAGCAAACUCAGGAAAAAACUAAACAUGCAAAGUAAAAUACAAACAGAAAUAAACUUGUAAA